CAACCCUCAAGACCCCUGUGGACUUGGUGUUGGGGACCGGCGGCGCCUCUCUGGUGUCACCGCCCCCUAAAUGAAUUGGCGGCCUCGUCGCGGCCCUCCUCUGCGUAGUAGCACACACCUCGCAACAGGAGCCCGACGGCGGCCACUGCCGUAAAACGCCCAAACUUUUUUAG
rnacentral:misc_RNA from 2 species